rnacentral:lncRNA from 1 species
CCUGGAGUUCAUUUACUGCGCAGGCUUUAGCGCUUUUAGAUGCAAUUGUGUGAUCAGAGGUGAUAUCCUGCUGUGAAAGAUCUGGAAACGUUUCUAGACAUCUCAUUCUUGUAACCGUACUUGAAAUUGAAAUUGUGCAGUGGAUGCAGCCUGUAGUUUUUGCUGGUAUCCUCAGCCAUGUUGUGGCAGUUCGGUGCUGUAUACCCAGACAUGUUUGUCUGGACUGCGGUGAUUCUUCCUAGUUAUGCUGUUUGUCUUUAGCUGCUGAUUCUCCUAUGUGAUAAGCUACUGAUCUCUCUUUAAAGGGAGAGAAGGGGUGGGGGGGAAAGCCCUUCUCUUCCCUUGCUCCCUGACCUCCAGAAUCUUCCUGCCUCCAGUGUCUGUUACUUGCAUUGUCUGUCUUUUAUGCUUUUAUUGCACCAGCUCCUCGGGCAGUCAGUGCCAUGGAAAGAAAGCUGACACACUGCUGCAGUUCUGUUCAGCAGAGUCCUGCCAGUGCUAAUCAGUCAGUGGUGUGUGUUGGCUAAAUGACAUAAGGUCCCUUGCAGCUUCUUUCAGGAUUUACUGCAAGUCAUUGCUUCUCAAUAGCAAUACGGUUUUUGUCCCCCAUGGCCUUCCCCACCCAAACUGGAUCAGCAGAGCCUUGGAUACCUGCCGCAUGUACUGUGGUUUCAUCACCAGCCUGCAAUGGUUGGUACAGGCACUGCUGAAUAGUAUGAUGUGGCUUAUUAGAUAACUGGAGACCUGCAGGUGGUUUGUAUGUGAGAAGCUGGCAUAACACUCGUCUCAGUUCAGCCGCUAUCUGUGGAGACUGGCAUCCCCAUGUAACUUGAGUCUUUAAAAGAAGAGUUCCAUCUGGUUUACGAGCUGCAGAGGUAUGAACUUGUCCCACCACUGAGUAAAAUCUUGCCCUCUUCCCUCCUGCUAAUUUCUUAGUGCCUUGGUUUUCCUCUGAGUGUGUGGUGUGGGUGUUCCUCCCCUCCUCCUGUUCACGGAAGGAUCGCUAACAGGAAUAUAUUGACUGAGUCGUUGGGACUCCAGUAUUCUCUACAUGAGUCACUAGCCUCAUUUGCUUGGGUACCUCUGGAGGCUGAAUAUUGUCCCCGUUCUUUCUCUUCCCCAUCUCUGAAAUAG